rnacentral:tRNA from 1 species
GGGGAUUGUGGUGCAGAGGUCGCACUCAGGUUCGUGGCACCUGAAUACGUGGGUUCGAUUCCCACCGGUCCUCU